UCCGUAGUGUAGAUAUGGAUGAAGGUGUUUUCGGAAUCGCUCAUUCCGAAUUAAUUGCAAAGGAGGACAUGCAACAACUUUUUGAACACGAAGAAUUGGGCAUCGCUGUCAUUCAUACAUACAUAUGGUACUCCGAUUCAAUGAGUAGUCUAAUGUUUAUUAUGUUUCUAUUUAAGGUAUAUGUAUGACACAUUGAUGCGGGGAACUGAAUUGUGUAACCGAUUCAAUUUUAUUGCUGCUUCCCGUAUCAACACAACGUUUAUAACGAAAAAUCCAACAUCCGUAAUGAAUGAACUAGUCGAUAGAUUCAUG
rnacentral:lncRNA from 1 species